ACAGAGGGUGCAAGCGUUAAUCGGAAUUACUGGGCGUAAAGCGUGCGCAGACGGUUAUUUAAGUCGGAUGUGAAAGCCCCGGGCUCAACCUGGGAAUUGCAUUCGAAACUGAAUGGCUAGGGUGCGGAAGAGGGAAGCGGAAUUUCUGGUGUAGCGGUGAAAUGCGUAGAUAUCAGAAGGAACAUCAGUGGCGAAAGCGGCUUCCUGGUCCAGCACCGACGUUCAGGCACGAAAGCGUGGGGAGCAAACAGGAUUAGAUACCCUGGUAGUCCACGCCAUAAACGAUGAGAACUAGACGUUGAGAGGGUUAGCCUCCCAGUGUCGCAGCUAACGCGCUAAGUUCUCCGCCUGGGGAGUACGGCCGCAAGGUUG
rnacentral:rRNA from 1 species